rnacentral:tRNA from 1 species
GUGGUACUAGCUCAACUGGUUAGAGCGCCGCUCUGUGGAAGCGGAGGUUAUGGGUUCAACUCCCAUGUAUCACC